ensembl:snoRNA
GUUGUGGUGAUGAAAAACAUGGACACCAGCGUCAGGCAUGGCGCCCGAAAAGCAUGAGGAAAUCUCCCAUGCUGCCUUCCUUCUGAACACACC